rnacentral:lncRNA from 1 species
AUCACUUGUCCAUGCCAUUAUUACCCGACGGUUUAUCUUCCCAAAAACCACUUUUUCACCCAAAACGCUCCCUUGUUUCCAUAAAUUCAUUUCAUCCAAAACACUCUUCUCCGAUGCUUUAAGAUCCCAGGGAGCAAAUCGAAACCUUCCUCAAAGAAACUUCAGUUCGGUUCUCUGAUCCAAUCAUCUUCCAGUACUUUUACUGCAUAUCUUGGCAUCGAACCCUCCAGGUAAAACUCUUCCCUUUUCUUUAGACUUUCAGUAGCUACACUGUCGGCCAGUUUAUUAAUUUUACGACAAACAUGGUAAAACUUAAGGAAUCUAAAGUUACACUAUAAAGCCUUUAUAUAUUGGAUAAUAGAGCAAAUUUCGGAAUUGUCACUAGAGUUAGAGAUACAUUUCUUAAUAGCUGAUAGUGAGUACCCUUCAAUAUGAAUUUUACGAUCCUUAAGAUUUAACCCCAUUUUAACUGCCUCUAAACAUGAAUGGGCUUUUGCUGCAAAAGCUGAACCAGCAUUCUCAUGGAUGAUUACUUUGGAGACGAUUACCUUGCCCAUUCCAUCUCUAACAACCACUCCCGAUCCUAAUCUGAAAAGUUCACUAUUAAAGCCGACAUCAAAAUAAAUUUUGAUAUCCUCUCCAGAAGAGGGAACCCAUACUUCUCUAGUCACCUCUUUGGUAAGUGCUUUUUCCUCCAAGCAGUCUAACUCUCUUACAUACCUAUGAAUAAAAAAAGCCAUAUCCUCACUUGAUUUAUUUAUUCGUUCAUGCAGACAUUUGUUUCUCUUAGUCCAUAAGGCCCAAAGGGAGACACAGAACACUCGUUGCUGGGAGUUUGAGCAGACACUAAAAGCCCAAGUAAGCCAUUCGAACCAUUCUUGUAUAUUGCUUGGCAUUAUCCACUGAAGGUCCAGUAAACUCCAAACGUCCUUUGCAACAGGGCAAUUAAGGAAGACAUGUAUCAUAUUUUUAGCUUCUUUCCCAUAUCGUGGACACUCUACAUUAGUCACCAGUCUCUUACAACGUAGAUUUAGCAUAGUAGGAAUAAUUUUUUUGAGAUGCGCCAUACUAUAAUUUUAACUUUAGAAGGAAGUUUCAAACUCCAUAGCUUUCGAUAGAAAUCUCUAGAAAUGAGUUGUGAUGUAUUUAAUUAGGAGUAGAAAAACCCAACUGUAAUAGUUUAUAGGCACUGCACACCGAGAACAUCCCCGAUGGCUCACCUCUCCAAGCCAUUCAUCUUCAUGAGGAACUUUUGCCAGUGGGAUUCGAAGGUUCCUUCCCGCAUCAACCGCAUCAAAGGUAUUGGUAAUAAUUUCCGCUCUCCAUUCUCUAAUAUUAUUAUCAAUGAGCUCAACAACAAACUCCAAAUUACAAUUAUCAACUGGAUGAUUUAACCUGUAAUUAUCAGAACCUUGAAUCCAGGCAUGAUUAAAAAUAGAAAUAUUAUCACCCUUCCCCACCCUCUAACUCGUGCCUUCCUGAAGCACUCUCCUCGUUGCCCAUAUACUUAUCCACGUGUAAGAAGCAUUGUGCUUUAAACAUGCCUGUAAAAGAUCUGAAUUGGGGCAAUAUUUAGCUUUUAAAACUUUCACUAAUAAUGAAUUGGAGUUAGUCAUAAGUCUCCAUCCCUACUUCGCUAAGAGAGCCACGUUAAAAUUUGCGAAGUUCUUAAAACCCAAACCACCAUACUCCUUUGAGUCACAUAGUUUUUCCCAUGUGCAUCAAUGCAAACCACAUUUUCCAUGAAAUUUUUGCCACCAAAACCUAGCUAUUAUUCCCUUCAUUUCUUCACAUAACGUUUUAGGUAGUAGAAAAUAAGCCAUAGUAUAAGUUGGGAUUGAUUGUAAAAUUGUUUUAAUGUAGACUUCUUUCCUGUAUUGUGAAAAGAAUCAUGUACUCCAAUUAUCAAAUUUUUUUCUUCAUUCCAUCCUUUAAGAUUUUAAAAGAGGCUAUUUUCUUUCUACAGACCAUAUUAGGAAGUCCCAAGUAGUUUUUGGGAUUAUUUGAAUGUCUCACUCCUAGCUCAUUAGAUAUUUUUGCUCGUAUAGUUUCAAGAGUGUUCCUAUUAAAGAAAACCGUUGACUUUUCAAAAUUCACGUAUUGUCCUGAACAAUUUUUGUAUUCUUUCAAGAUAUCUUUCAAGACGUUUGCACCUCUUGUUGUAGUUCCCUGUAAAGAAUGCAGUCAUUUGCAAAAAGUAAAUGAGAGGCCACUGGUCUAUUUUGACUUGCCUUAACCCCUUUUAAUUUCCUCUGGCUAUUAGCAAGACGCAUAAGAGUAGAUAAUCUCUUGCUGUAAAUCAAAAAUAGAGAAGGGCUUAGAGGAUCCCCUUGCCUUAGUCCUCUUAUAGGUCAAAAAGAAUUUCCUCUCAAACCAUUAAUGUUAACUGAAUAGGAAACUUUUGAUAUACAAUCAAGCACUAUAUCAACCCAAGCCUUUGCAAAACCUAUUUUAGUCAUCAUUGCUCGAAGAAAACCCCACUCCAUUCUAUCGUAAGUUUUAGUUGUGUCCAAUUUUAGGGCCAUCAGACCUUUACUUCCUUUACUUUUUUAUCCUAAAGUUUACCAUAAAGUUAAAUUGAAUUUAGAUAUGAUAAAAAAUCUAAUUAGACAAUUAGUUAAAUACAAAUAGUUUGACCUUAAAGUUAGUGGUUUUGGAGAAUGAGAAAUUGAGACCCUAUUUUUGUAAGGUGGAUUAUAUUAGAAGUGAGUUGAAUUUUGGUCAAGUAACUUUUGUUGAAUUAGUGUUUAAUUAAGGUAUAGGGACUAAAUCAAAAAAACAUUAAAAGUUGAAUCUUUAAGGAAUCUACAAAUAGAAAAUAGAGUGAGAGCCUUGUAUAGCAAAUAUGCCACUUUAUAAGUUGUAGUUGUCGAUUUCUAUUUAUGUUAGUAAUAAAUUUUGGUUUAAAUAAGUUAUAAAAUAAAAAAUUCUAAUUAAAUUAAUAAAGGUAAAAAAACAUGAAUUAAAUGUGAAAGUGGGAAGAAAGAGACAACCUCCUUGUAUUCAUUUUUUUUCAUUCGAAAGUGAAGAAGAAAAAUUGAGGGACGAAUCAUAAGUUUUUUUUAAAUUUUUAAAUUUUUAGAAUUUUGGGAACUCAAGCUAGUUGACCCAUGUCGUAUUUUUACGAUUAAAGUUUGAGGAUUUUACUAUUGUUGAAUAGUUAGAUUUUUAGGGAUUAAUUUGACAGAUUUUAAGUUGAGUAUUGAAAAAAAGACUAAAUUGUAAAGUUAAUUAUGAUUUUAUGAAAUAGGGAUUAAAUUGCACAAAUUUUUAAAUUUGGGGUAGAAAUGUAAAAUAGGAAGUUAAAAGUAGGCCUAGAAUGAAAUUGAUAUAAAAAUUGGUGAUUAAAUUUGAAAGUUAUGUUAGUCUUGAUUUUAGGGACUAAAUUCAAUAAAAUACAAAAGUUGUAUAAAAUAGCAAUUGAUUGUGAAAAUGGUUGUGUAUUGAUAAUUUUAUACGUUUAUAUUAAUCUAUAGCUAACGUUGACCCAGAUCCUUCAAAAAAGAAUAGAAAAGAUAAAGUUGUCGACAAAUAGCACAAGUUUACGGUCUGUAUUUUUAAAUCCAAACCUUUUCAAUUGUUGCAUUCACAAACUGCGCAGUAUGGUAAUAACAUAAGGUAAGCUAGAAAUGAGAGGACAAGAUAAAUUGAACUGAUUCAAAUUAGUUGUUUGUGAUAAGACUAAAUUGAAUAGAUUUGAAAAUAUGAUAUAUUGUUAUAAGUGUGCAAUUGAUUUCAAUUAGUGAUUAAUUAUGCUGUUUAAUGAUUGAUUGAUGAAAUUAUAUUGUAGAAUUGAGAAAUUGAGUAUAAAUGAAAUUAAAAUAAGGGUGGAUAGUGGAUAUCAAUUUAUAAGCUUGGAAUUAUGGAUUUGAUAUUUUAUGAUUUAAUCAAUUCGAUUAAGACAGAGAAAAAUCUAUCUUGCAACUAUGAUAACUCGAUUUAAGAUAUGUAAAUAUAUUGAAUUAGGUGAUAUAAUAGGAUUUGUAGAUUGACAUGUUAAAACGCAUUAUAGAAUUUAUAUUAUGUUUUAAUACCACUGUGUUAUACUUAGCGUACCACUUUAUUUCCCAUGCUCAAGUUAGGUACCUUACGAUUUGAUUGUCGACUCCGCAUCCAGUGGCAAAUCCCAAACUCAAACAUUGGUGAUCUGUUUAUUUUGGUAUUGGUAUGUACCUAGGACGUCUUAUGUUUAUAUGGGUUAUGUUAGUAUUUUAAGAAAUUAUAUGUAUGUAACGCCUUAAAACUCUAAAUUUUUAAUUUUUGCAUGAUUUGAUAAAAAUUGCUUGUUUGCUUUAAUGGCUAAGUGAUUUGGGUGUGUAUGAGAGUGUUUGAGAAGCUUAGGUUCAAGUCUUGGUUUUCGUAGAAUUUUUAGUUUUUCCCUUAAAUAAAUCUGGACGCUGGUAUAUAGGCCUUAUAAAUAUUGGUACUUGUUUUAUGACACAAGGAGCCUAUUGGUUUAGUGGCAAGUGGCGUGUUGGACUGAAACACAGUUGGGGGGAUUUUGAUUGGAGUUUUGGAGGGAGUUGGAGAGUAGUAUGUGGAGAGAUUUAAGGAGGGAUAAGGGGAGGGAUUUGAGGAGAAAAUUUAGGAGUGGGUUGAGAGGAGAGUUGUGCCAUUUGGGAAGUUUUUAGCUUAGGAAACUCAACUGGGGGUUAGUUUGUACCGAAUUUGGUCUUAGGCACUUUGGGUAAUUGGUGUUUUUAGCUACUUUUGCUGUUGUAGUGCUGCAAGUAUUGUAGAUUAUCAGUAAAGUUAUGAUAAUCCUCACUCUUUGAUUUAAUUGGUUUUUUUCCAUUCUUUUUCUUUAAGCUGAAUACCUCUCUUGGCCAUUAUUAUGGCCUAAUUUAGUUUAUGAAGAUCUGUGUUGUGGUGCAGGUAAUUGAUAAGUGGGUGACCAUUUUUGGUUGGAGGUUUUGGAGGAGUUAAGUCACCCUCUAUCAAGCAAGGUAAGGAUGUGUGGUUUUAGUGUCAUUAAGAGGGUGUCUUGUUUUACAAGAUUGACUUGUGUCUUGAUUAAAUCUAGGUUGGUGUACGUGAAGACUUGCGCUCUUCUCAUAAAUAGGUGUGCAAUCACACCCCCACUUUUUUUGCAAAUCAGCAAAAGUUGAAAAGCUGAAUAUGACGGUGUUCGAGGCCAUAUAAGUGUACGAAUGCUCGUAUGGUAAAUCGAGCCCACGAAACAUUGUGUUGGAUUGUAAAGGCCUCCAUAAGAAUUUUAUGGGCUUAUGCCGUAAUGGGCCACGUUGGGCCGAAAUUGACCGUGUGGGUCCAGUGGGCUCGUAGGUCUCACAUGAAUGAAAUUCAUGAACUGUAGCGAAUAUUAGGUUCAGCUUUAAAGUCCCCAAAGCAAUGGCAGAUUUUGGGAUGAGCAGGCCACACGAAUGUGUGGGCCCACUUGGGCAGGGUAAUGGGCCUCGGGCCCAUUUAUACUAUUUUGCCCAUUUAGGUUAUUUGAGUUGCUCGAGGUGACUGCAGACCUUUUGUGGGUUCAGUAAAAUGACCGAAAUAUCCCAAAAGUGUAAAAUGAUCGAAUAUCCCUAAAGGGUAAAAUGACUGAAAUACCCUCAUAGGAUAAAAUGACUAUUAUACCCCUAGGUGAUUAAAUGAUUGUUAUGACCUUAUAUAUGUAUGACUGAUCUGCUGUAUAUUAUGCAUGACAUUUUGCAUACACGUAUUAUUUAUGACAUGACAUACUGCAUGAGAUUGGGAUAUUGAUAUAGGGGAACUAUAUUGUACUGGUAGUUUUGCCACAUAUACUGGUAGCUUUCCUGCGAUAUUGGUGUGUUGGCUGGGUAGGUCGAUUUUAUCUCCACAUGGUGUGUUGGUGGUAUGGGGUGGUGUGUUGGUUAAAUGGCAUGUAUAAGUAUUUUGGCUAAUGUUAGUCAUGUGUUUUGGUUGUUGGAAAUGUCCAUUUGAUUUGGUUUGAGUUUUGGCAUCUUGUUGGUAUAAUGAUAUAGUAUGGCAUGUAUAUGAGUAGCCUUAAUAUGGUUUAUUGAUGCUAGUUAUAGAAUGGCAUUUUGGUAUUAAAUAGACUGUGCUUUGAUAAGGAAAUUUAAUGGUUUGUAUUGAUGCAAAUUGCUUGGAAGAUUGUUGAUUUAUUUAGCCAAAUUGUGUACAUGUUUAUACAUGUCUUAAUAUUGUCAUUUGAGGUGUCUAAGGGUAUAUUAGUUGUAUGUGAUUUUAUCAUAUGUAUGAAGCUAAAAUAUGCGUGAUUUUGGUGCAUUGUUAUGGCUUGUUUAUAUAUGAAAUUUUGGUUGUAGGUACAUGCCUAGUUGGGUGAGAAAAAUGGCUUCUAAAAUGGUCUAUUUUUGUCCACAUUGGCAAGUAUCUCAGCUAUGUGUGACAAACGACCAGAUGGCGCAGCCGUGUGUCCUUUGUAGCUUUUGAGGAGUUGCAAGUCAGGUUGUUACACGGCCUAACAAACGGCCUGGCACAUAGGCAUGUGAGGUUACAUCGAAGGGUACAUAGCCUAGUGCACAGGCGUGUGACUUGGUCGUGUGACGAAGUUUGUGAGUUAAACGGGCACAGACAUAGGUUGGGACACAACCAUGUGUCCCUACUUCGAAUGCACAUACGGCCUAGUUUUUUAGAGUUUUUUAUUUAGUCUUGACUAGUUUCUAACGUGUUUUUAGGGUCAUGUGCCAGGCCGUGUGCUAGGCUAUGUAACAGCCUGACUUGUAACCCUUUGAAAGCUACAGGGGACAAACGACUGUGUCGCUUGGCUGUGUGUGACACGGCCAUGUCGCUUGGCCGUGUGUCAUACAUGACUGAGACACAUGCCCGUGUCUCUACCCGUGUGGACGAAAAAUAAGCCACUUUCAAGUCUUUUUUCUCACCCAAGCAUGCAUCCACCUACCAUCAAUUUUUCACAUAAAAUCAAGCACCCAAAGUGCAACAAACCAUGCUAUAACAAGCUACGCAACCAAGGUACAUAAGCAUACAACCAAUAUGCUUAAAAGGCACAUCAAUCACAACCAUUAAACAUGUAUGUUCAUAUACAUAAAUUGGCCAAAAGUUCAAUUAACUUAUAACUAAACUUAUGUCAUAACUUACCACUUUGUUCACAUAUCAAAUUCACAUUCAAA